CUCGUAGGCGGUUUGUCGCGUCGUCUGUGAAAUCCUGCAACUCAAUUGUAGGCGUGCAGGCGAUACGGGCAAACUUGAGUACUACAGGGGAGACUGGAAUUCCUGGUGUAGCGGUGAAAUGCGCAGAUAUCAGGAGGAACACCGGUGGCGAAGGCGGGUCUCUGGGUAGUAACUGACGCUGAGGAGCGAAAGCGUGGGGAGCGAACA
rnacentral:rRNA from 1 species